rnacentral:tRNA from 1 species
ACGGUUUCCGUCUGGUGCCUUGAUCAGACUACGGAUCUGGAGGUUGGAGGUUCGAUUCCUCCCGGGCGUACCA